GACGAACGCUGGCGGCGUGCCUAAUACAUGCAAGUAGAACGCUGAAGCUUGGUGCUUGCACCGAGCGGAUGAGUUGCGAACGGGUGAGUAACGCGUAGGUAACCUGCCUGGUAGCGGGGGAUAACUAUUGGAAACGAUAGCUAAUACCGCAUAAGAGUAGAUGUUGCAUGACAUUUGCGUAAAAGGUGCAAUUGCAUCACUACCAGACGGACCUGCGUUGUAUUAGCUAGUUGGUGAGGUAACGGCGCACCAAGGCAACGAUACGUAGCCGACCUGAGAGGCGGGUCGGCCUACCUGGGACGGGGGCACGGCCCGGCCCACUGGGGGUGGGACCAGGCGCGGACUCUUGGCAAAGGCAGGAAGUCUGACCAAUGGACGCCGCGCGAGUGCCGGAGGUAUUCGGGUCGUGAAGGUCGGUUGUGAGUGAGGAACGAAUGUCAGUGUGGAAAGUGCACACUGUGACGGUACCGUGCGAAAAAGCGACGGCUAACUACGUG
rnacentral:rRNA from 1 species